rnacentral:rRNA from 1 species
UACGUAGGGUGCAAGCGUUGUCCGGAAUUAUUGGGCGUAAAGAGCUCGUAGGCGGUUUGUCACGUCGGCUGUGAAAACCCGAGGCUCAACCUCGGGCCUGCAGUCGAUACGGGCAGACUAGAGUAUGGCAGGGGAGACUGGAAUUCCUGGUGUAGCGGUGAAAUGCGCAGAUAUCAGGAGGAACACCGGUGGCGAAGGCGGGUCUCUGGGCCAUAACCGACGCUGAGGAGCGAAAGCGUGGGGAGCGAACAGG